UGGCAUGCUUCCAGCAUGCCUGGGUCUGGGAUUGACCCUGUGCAUUCCUCCCAGUGCUUGCAAGGACAGUGUUGAAAUAGUU
rnacentral:snoRNA from 1 species